rnacentral:ribozyme from 13 species
UCCUUUUCUUUUGUUUUUUGAUUCUCUCCCUGUUCAAUCUCCUCAUGUGUGUGUUCGUCUUUAAGACUGUCUUGUUGCUCUU